rnacentral:rRNA from 1 species
UAUACAUGCAGUCGAGCGAGCUGAUUCAAAGAUCCCUUCGGGGUGAUUUGUUGGACGCUAGCGGCGGAUGGGUGAGUAACACGUGGGCAAUCUGCCCUAAAGACUGGGAUACCACUUGGAAACAGGUGCUAAUACCGGAUAACAACAUGAAUCGCAUGAUUCAAGUUUGAAAGGCGGCGCAAGCUGUCACUUUAGGAUGAGCCCGCGGCGCAUUAGCUAGUUGGUGGGGUAAAGGCCUACCAAGGCAAUGAUGCGUAGCCGAGUUGAGAGACUGAUCGGCCACAUUGGGACUGAGACACGGCCCAAACUCCUACGGGAGGCAGCAGUAGGGAAUCUUCCACAAUGGACGCAAGUCUGAUGGAGCAACGCCGCGUGAGUGAAGAAGGUUUUCGGAUCGUAAAGCUCUGUUGUUGGUGAAGAAGGAUAGAGGCAGUAACUGGUCUUUAUUUGACGGUAAUCAACCAGAAAGUCACGGCUAACUACGUGCCAGCAGCCGCGGUAAUACGUAGGUGGCAAGCGUUGUCCGGAUUUAUUGGGCGUAAAGCGAGCGCAGGCGGAAUGAUAAGUCUGAUGUGAAAGCCCACGGCUCAACCGUGGAACUGCAUCGGAAACUGUCAUUCUUGAGUGCAGAAGAGGAGAGUGGAACUCCAUGUGUAGCGGUGGAAUGCGUAGAUAUAUGGAAGAACACCAGUGGCGAAGGCGGCUCUCUGGUCUGCAACUGACGCUGAGGCUCGAAAGCAUGGGUAGCGAACAGGAUUAGAUACCCUGGUAGUCCAUGCCGUAAACGAUGAGCGCUAGGUGUUGGGGACUUUCCGGGUCCUCAGUGCCGCAGCAAACGCAUUAAGGCGCUCCGCCUGGGGAGUACGACCGCAAGGUUGAAACUCAAAGGAAUUUGACGGGGGCCCGCCACAAGCGGGUGGAGCAUGUGGAUUAUUUCGAAGCAACGCGAAGAACCUUACCCAGUCUUGACAU